rnacentral:rRNA from 1 species
GAACGGUAACAGGAAGCAGCUUGCUGCUUUGCUGACGAGUGGCGGACGGGUGAGUAAUGUCUGGGAAACUGCCUGAUGGAGGGGGAUAACUACUGGAAACGGUGGCUAAUACCGCAUAACGUCGCAAGACCAAAGAGGGGGACCUUCGGGCCUCUUGCCAUCAGAUGUGCCCAGAUGGGAUUAGCUGGUUGGUGAGGUAACGGCUCACCAAGGCGACGAUCCCUAGCUGGUCUGAGAGGAUGACUAGCCACACUGGAACUGAGACACGGUCCAGACUCCUACGGGAGGCAGCAGUGGGGAAUAUUGCACAAUGGGCGCAAGCCUGAUGCAGCCAUGCCGCGUGUAUGAAGAAGGCCUUCGGGUUGUAAAGUACUUUCAGCGGGGAGGAAGGUGUUGUGGUUAAUAACCGCAACAAUUGACGUUACCCGCAGAAGAAGCACCG